rnacentral:rRNA from 1 species
GAUGAACGCUGACAGAAUGCUUAACACAUGCAAGUCUACUUGAAUUUGGGUUUUUAACUUAGGUUUGGGUGGCGGACGGGUGAGUAACGCGUAAAGAACUUGCCUCACAGCUAGGGACAACAUUUAGAAAUGAAUGCUAAUACCUAAUAUUAUGAUAAUAGGGCAUCCUAUAAUUAUGAAAGCUAUAUGCGCUGUGAGAGAGCUUUGCGUCCCAUUAGCUAGUUGGAGAGGUAACAGCUCACCAAGGCGAUGAUGGGUAGCCGGCCUGAGAGGGUGAUCGGCCACAAGGGGACUGAGACACGGCCCUUACUCCUACGGGAGGCAGCAGUGGGGAAUAUUGGACAAUGGACCGAGAGUCUGAUCCAGCAAUUCUGUGUGCACGAUGAAGUUUUUCGGAAUGUAAAGUGCUUUCAGUUGGGAAGAAAGAAAUGACGGUACCAACAGAAGAAGUGACGGCUAAAUACGUGCCAGCAGCCGCGGUAAUACGUAUGUCACGAGCGUUAUCCGGAUUUAUUGGGCGUAAAGCGCGUCUAGGUGGUUAUAUAAGUCUGAUGUGAAAAUGCAGGGCUCAACUCUGUAUUGCGUUGGAAACUGUAUAACUAGAGUGCUGGAGAGGUAAGCGGAACUACAAGUGUAGAGGUGAAAUUCGUAGAUAUUUGUAGGAAUGCCGAUGGGGAAGCCAGCUUACUGGACAGAUACUGACGCUGAAGCGCGAAAGCGUGGGUAGCAACAGG